rnacentral:rRNA from 1 species
UUUUACAAUGGAGAGUUUGAUCCUGGCUCAGGAUGAACGCUAGCUAUAGGCUUAACACAUGCAAGUCGAGGGGAAACGGCAUUAUGUGCUUGCACAUUUUGGACGUCGACCGGCGCACGGGUGAGUAUCGCGUAUCCAACCUGCCCUUUACUUGGGGAUACCCCGUUGAAAGACGGCCUAAUACCCGAUGUAAUUCAUUGAUGGCAUCAGAUAUGAAUAAAAGAUUUAUCGGUAAAGGAUGGGGAUGCGUCUGAUUAGCUUGUUGGUGAGGUAAAGGCUCACCAAGGCGACGAUCAGUAGGGGUUCUGAGAGGAAGGUCCCCCACAUUGGAACU